rnacentral:lncRNA from 1 species
CCCGCACCCAACGGGACGGGACGGGACUCUAACCUAGAUUCAGCUCCGGUCGCGAUCCUAGCUCCGUCCCGUCCCGUCAACGUAAACAAAAUGCGUCCCUGAUUCCACCUUUUUCGCGUCCCGUCCGAAAGCUUUUCGUCAGCCUUUCCGACUUGGUUUCCCGCCGUUUUGCGUCGCGCCUGGCCCUGCAUGGCCGCGGGAAAGUAGUGCAGUGCCCCACUGGAGUAUCACCACGUUGACUCGAUGAAUCCCAAGGCUCCUUUUUUCGGGAGGAUGCGCGGUUGACGAGCGAAGCGGCGCGCGAUGGGGCGGGGGCAGAGCCCCAUGGAAUUCGGGUAGGGGCCCCCCGCCGCCUUCACUCCCACUCCACUACUAUGGACUCCUCGCACAGACCUCUCGCCUUCAAUAAGAUGGAAGCUCUUGUUCAAGAAAUGCAAGAUAUUGAAAACGGAGUGCCUGUGCGGAGUCAAAAGCUGUUCCUUACUUCCAUACCCUCAGCCUUCAUGGGUAAGUAUUAAUAGAAGUGCUAUCGAUUCCCAGGAAUAUACUUCCUUGUCCGCUCUCCUGUCAAUCGAUUAACGUGUCAUGAACAGGAUAGACAGCAUUGGCGGCUCAAAAAAUCCUUCAGACCCGCCUCGGCCGCAGGUCGCCAGAUAUACGACUCUCGAAAUGUCAGUAACGCCAUGAUUCGUUAAUUUGAAUGUGGGGCGAUCGGUUUUCCGAAAGCGAUCAUUUUGGUACGAUAAUGAUAUCAAGUUGUUCCCAUAAAUUAGUUGCCAAGGUAAUGAAAACCUUGAAGCCCUGUGUUCAAUCGAAGCAUUGAAAGCUGAAGGGGCUGUACAAAUGCGUGAUAAUGGGUCAGCUGCGGUGGUCAAAGAACCGUUCUUUAAUGCUUGAUUCUUGUAGAUUAGCUAAAAAUAAUAAGAUCCGUCCAAACAGCAACUUUCUACGUUCAAUAUUAACCGAGAUAUCGCCCUUUUAAAGAUUCGAUUUAUGACGUCAUCAACCGUGGUGGUGACACCCUUGGUUUCUUCCACCUCGCUUUCAUCCGAGUUACACGUUGAGUAACCAGUGCAAAUGCGUGUUUCCUGGCUGAUGAAAGCAAGGUGGAGGAAACCAAGGGUGUCAAUGCCCUUGU